rnacentral:rRNA from 1 species
AGCAGUCGCCGCGGUAAUACGGAGGGUGCAAGCGUUAAUCGGAAUUACUGGGCGUAAAGCGUGCGUAGGCGGUUCGUUAAGUCUGUUGUGAGAGCCCCGGGCUCAACCUGGGAAUGGCAAUGGAUACUGGCGAGCUAGAGUGUGUCAGAGGAUGGUGGAAUUCCCGGUGUAGCGGUGAAAUGCGUAGAGAUCGGGAGGAACAUCAGUGGCGAAGGCGGCCAUCUGGGACAACACUGACGCUGAGGCACGAAAGCGUGGGGAGCAAACAGGAUUAGAUACCCGCGUAGUCCCUGUCUCUUAUAC